GACUGUACAAAGGUAGCAUAAUCAUUUGUCUUUUAAUUGAAGGCUGGUAUGAAUGGUUGGAUGAAAAAUAUACUUUCUUUUUUUUAUAUAAAAAAAUUAAUUUUUUAGUUAAAAAGCUAAAAUAAUAUUAUAGGACGAGAAGACCCUAUAGAACUUUAUUUUCUUUUUUAUAUAAAUUUUAUUGAUUUUUAUAAAUUUAUAUAUUAAUGUAAAUUUUGUUGGGGUGACAGAAAAAAUUAUAUAACUUUUUCUAUUUUAGACAUUUAUAUAUGUUUUAUUGAUCUUUUAAUAAAAAAUUAGGAUUAAGUUACCUUAGGGAUAACAGCGUUAUUUUCUUUGAGAGUUCAUAUCGAUAUGAAAGUUUGCGACCUCGAUGUUGGAUUAAAAUAAGUGGCAGGGGUAGAAUAUUGUUUCACUAGGUCUGUUCGACCUUUAAAUUUUUACA
rnacentral:rRNA from 1 species